rnacentral:rRNA from 1 species
GACGAACGCUGGCGGCGUGCCUAAUACAUGCAAGUCGAACGCUUCUUUCCUCCCGAGUGCUUGCACUCAAUUGGAAAGAGGAGUGGCGGACGGGUGAGUAACACGUGGGUAACCUACCCAUCAGAGGGGGAUAACACUUGGAAACAGGUGCUAAUACCGCAUAACAGUUUAUGCCGCAUGGCAUAAGAGUGAAAGGCGCUUUCGGGUGUCGCUGAUGGAUGGACCCGCGGUGCAUUAGCUAGUUGGUGAGGUAACGGCUCACCAAGGCCACGAUGCAUAGCCGACCUGAGAGGGUGAUCGGCCACACUGGGACUGAGACACGGCCCAGACUCCUACGGGAGGCAGCAGUAGGGAAUCUUCGGCAAUGGACGAAAGUCUGACCGAGCAACGCCGCGUGAGUGAAGAAGGUUUUCGGAUCGUAAAACUCUGUUGUUAGAGAAGAACAAGGACGUUAGUGACUGAACGUCCCCUGACGGUAUCUAACCAGAAAGCCACGGCUAACUACGUG